GGAGUCGGCCAGACAGUCGCGUCAUCGCCGCGCAAGCGGGGGUGCCGAGGAAAGUCCGGGCUCCACAGGGUGCGAUGCCAGGUAACGCCUGGGCGGCGCGAGCCGACGGAAAGUGCAACAGAAAGAUACCGCCGGGUGCUGAAAAUGCCCCGGUAAGGGUGAAAUGGUGCGGUAAGAGCGCACCGCGAAUCCGGCAACGGAUCGGCACGGCAAACCCCAUCGGGAGCAAGACCAAAUAGGCAGCCAUGGCGUGACCCGCGUCGGCUGCGGGUAGGUUGCUGGAGCCAUGCAGCGAUGCAUGGCCGAGAGGAAUGACUGUCCACGACAGAACCCGGCUUACCGGCCGACUCCGCCA
rnacentral:RNase_P_RNA from 1 species